rnacentral:rRNA from 3 species
GUAAACGAUGUCGACUUGGAGGUUGUGCCCUUGAGGUGUGGCUUCCGGAGCUAACGCGUUAAGUCGACCGCCUGGGGAGUACGGCCGCAAGGUUAAAACUCAAAUGAAUUGACGGGGGCCCGCACAAGCGGUGGAGCAUGUGGUUUAAUUCGAUGCAACGCGAAGAACCUUACCUGGUCUUGACAUCCACGGAAGUUUUCAGAGAUGAGAAUGUGCCUUCGGGAACCGUGAGACAGGUGCUGCAUGGCUGUCGUCAGCUCGUGUUGUGAAAUGUUGGGUUAAGUCCCGCAACGAGCGCAACCCUUAUCCUUUGUUGCCAGCGGUCCGGCCGGGAACUCAAAGGAGACUGCCAGUGAUAAACUGGAGGAAGGUGGGGAUGACGUCAAGUCAUCAUGGCCCUUACGACCAGGGCUACACACGUGCUACAAUGGCGCAUACAAAGAGAAGCGACCUCGCGAGAGCAAGCGGACCUCAUAAAGUGCGUCGUAGUCCGGAUUGGAGUCUGCAACUCGACUCCAUGAAGUCGGAAUCGCUAGUAAUCGUGGAUCAGAAUGCCACGGUGAAUACGUUCCCGGGCCUUGUACACACCGCCCGUCACACCAUGGGAGUGGGUUGCAAAAGAAGUAGGUAGCUUAACCUUCGGGAGGGCGCUUACCACUUUGUGAUUCAUGACUGGGGUGAAGUCGUAACAAGGUAACCGUAGGGGAACCUGCGGUUGGAUCACCUCCU